rnacentral:lncRNA from 1 species
AGGAAUGUUGAGUUGGCAAGCUUUCUCCGGUGGUUUGUGGCAGUGGAACUUCAUGAUCCUGCAUAUGCAAAACGCUUCUAUUGUACCUAUGAGAUUCUGGAAGAAAGCAUGUUGAAGGUUGGAGCCAGUUAUUAUUUCAUUAGUCAUUAGAUAGGCUAUUUAGAUUAUCUUGUUAUCAUAAUUGUCUGAAUAUAGAUAGUUAUAUUAAAAAGAACUCUGAAUUGAGUGAGAUGCUAGUUUUAAAAACUUACUUGGUUUUGACAUUUCAACAGAUACAUAUAUAUAUAUAUAUUCAUAUAUUAUAUCAUAUAUGUAUAUACACAUACAUAGAUACAUAUUUUGAGAAUGAUCUAGAAAGCAUUAAGAGAUCUUUUUUCACUUGUAUUUUUUUCAUAAGGAUAAAAGAACGUGUUGUAUGAAUAGUUGGUCAAACUGGUGGAAGACAAUGUAUGACUCAAGCAGAGUCGCAUGCAACAACAACAAGCCCAGUGAAAUCCCACAAGUGGGGGUCUGGGGAGGGUGAAGUGUAUGCAGACCUUACCUCUACCUAACCUCGGCUCAAAAGAGUCUUGUAAGUUGUAAAUAAUUAUGGAUACCAACUUGGUGUUUAUUAAUUUCUGACUUAUAAAAAAACUUCGGAGGGAAAUUUUAGCUUUAGGAUAAAUUUGAAGGUCAGUUCUUGUGACCCUUUUCCAAUUUCAAAAUUAGGGGGAAAAGCUUGGUCUCCAGGGGAAAUUGGCGUUACAAUUGAAAACUUAAACUGUUGUCUCCUUAAAGGGAAAUGGGGAAAUCGAGAUUAAAUUUGAAACUUGAAUUGUUGGCUAAGUUCCCAGUGAAUAAGUUUCCACGGGUAGAGCAGAUAUGAUAACAUUUGGAGAAAACAGCAGCGUGUUCAGUGGUUUCUUUCACUCUGUAUUCUUUGUUGCUUGUGCUGGCUACUGACUGCAUAUAUGUCAUAAUAGCUGGGGGCUAGUUCAAGUGGAGAUGAAGAUGGCUUUAAGUUGUGGCAGAGCUUAGUGCGUCAGACUGAAUUGACUGCUCAGUUAUGCUCUAUAAUGAGAGAUGUAAGAAAUGUCCGUGGUGGCACACAAAAGAAGAUUGAAAAGCUUAGACAUCUUCUGUCUGGCCUCCUUAGCGAGCUCACUUAUUUUGAUGAGGUAAUUACAUUUUUCAACUGGUUCGCCUGUCAUUAAAUCUGUAAACGUCUAUAACAGCGAGCUCACUUACUUUGAAGAGGUAAUUACAUUUUUCAACUGGUCCGCCUGUCAUUAAAUCUGUGAACGUCUAUAAUACAUGUAUAUUGCAUUUAAAUUUCUGAAACCAUAAUAUGCUGAUCAUUGAUGCUUUGCAGCCAAUUCGGUCUCCUCUUGCCCCUGAUCUAUUGAUCACAGGGAUCAUCCCAUCAGAGUCUUCAAUAUUUAAAAGUGCAUUGCAUCCAUUACGGUUGGCAUUUCGAACAGCAAAUGGUGGAUGUUGCA